rnacentral:rRNA from 1 species
ACACGACUACAUUAGAUACCCGGGUAGUCCCAGCCGUAAACUAUGCGCGUUAGGUGUACCGGUGACCACGCGUUACUGAUGCGCCGAAGAGAAAUCGUGAAACGCACCACCUGGGAAGUACGGUCGCAAGGCUGAAACUUAAAGGAAUUGGCGGGGAGCACCACAACAGGUGGAGCCUGCGGUUUAAUUGGAUUCAACGCCGGACAUCUCACCGGAUAAGACAGCUGAAUGAUUGUCAAUCUGAAGGUUUUACAUGACUAGCUG